CUCAGCAGCGACAUCGGAGACUGAGGCUUUGAGGUGGAUUCCAAUGGCAUGACUCUGUUUUUGAAGAACAGAUCCUAAACUUUUGAUUCUCCAAAACUUUGUUGUUUGCUACGUCUCUAUCACCUCAGGCGCUGUCGUAUUUGCCGAAGAAGAAGGAAGCAGGGGGAAUAUUCCGGUGGGACUCUGGGAGGUGUGUAAGCAGGUGAGAAAUUACUAUUUGUAAUUUCUCCAAAUCAAGGAUCACUUUGGUUUUCGAAACAAACAAACUGAUACAUUCUUGCCAAUUUUUUUUUUUUUUUAAAACCAGCUAUAAAAUGGAAUAUGGAGAAAUAACUCCCUAGGGAAUAAUUGAGAUAUAUUCUAAAUUGCAAACUGGUUUUGACAUUCAUGCAUGCCCUAUUGGUUCUUGCUUUCAAAGGGAACAACAAAACGCAAAGGCCUGCUGAUUCUUGUGAAUCUUAUUGAGCUGUUCUGUAUUCAUUUACUUUUUGGGGUACCAGCUUGGUGCACAUGUAUGUAAAAUUUUGUGAUAUCAAAUAUGCUCAUAGGUGUUUGCUGAAAUGACAGAGAGAGUCUUCUUGUAGAAAAAAUUGUUCUCUGUUUUGUCACUUGCAGAGCAGUUUUUUUUUGGUGUCAAUUUGAUCUGGCACCACUGCCCAGCACCUCCCUGUCACCACCGCCCCUGCCGCUGCCCACGACCAUAAGAAAGAAGCUCACUCUCAUCCCCCUCAUCUUUCUCACUCUUAUCCCCCUCACAUGCAACAACAAUGGGGUUUAUGGACUUUGCCGGCGAGAGUACUGACAUUGUCCCAAAAAUUGAGAUUAGAAAAGAGUAUUGAAGAGUAGAUUCCAAUAUUUUUUGACUCCUUUAUUGCCUGUGUGGAUAUGGAAUUUGGGGAUUGCAAUUAGGGACAUGAGGAUGAAGGAGCAGAGGGAGAUGAUGCCAAGGCAGACGGAGGUGUAGCCGACGACGGAGAGGCUGGUGUAGUUGAGGAAGGAGAGUGCGAGGGUGGGGAUGAGAAGGUCGAGGGUGCGGGUGAGGCCACCUGCGAAGAUGGGGAAGAGUUUUUAGAUCCAUCUUCAUCGUCAUCUCCAGCUAUCUCACCGACCUCAACAUUCUUAAUUCCGAGAUCGGCCGCUUCACCACCUCCACCUCCCUUGUCAGCGACGCCUGCGGGUGGUUCAUGGCCGCCAUCGUGCCCAACAUCCUCUCCGCCUUUAAGUUUUUUUGGACGUCUUGGGUAGAAGCUAGAAGAGGGAGAGUAAAGUGACAGAAAUAAGGUCGAUGAUUACUUGGGUCUCCGAUUCCCGCGGCAAAAUAGAGCUUGCUUCCGUGGGGGAGAGGGAAAAUACGUCCCCAUGCAAAUCUCGUUGGAUGGUCCAGCGAGAUUUGCUCGCCACGUAUCAAUCAACAGCCGUCCUCAUCAUUUAAAACUCGCUAGACCAUUCAGUGAGUUUUGGAACGCAUCAAAGUGGGUAAAAAAGUUCCCACCGAAUCGUUAUUUAAUAUUUUAUUAUAAUAAAAAAUUAAAAAAGGAAAAAACUCGUUAAAGUUAUGUUCUUGUUUGUUUCUCCAUUUUGAUAAUGUCCUCUAUUUCCAAGGUGACAUUGAGAGUGGCUUGAAGGAUCAUGGAAUGUAGCUUAUCAUGGUAAAUAAAUCAUUCAUUCUUUAAAUUUCUAUGGGCAUUUGUAUCAAAAUCAAGUGUCAAGAGUGGAGGAUACAUACUAUAAUAUGGAUAUUAGAGGCAACUUUUAGUGAUGGAGCAAAAGCACCACAGGACCAGUCUUGCAUGAUAUUUAUAGUUACAGGGGCAACAUGAUAUUUAUAGUGAAUGGCAUAGGUUUGUUACUACAUAGCACUACAAUUGGAUUUCACCGCAGGUUUUUUUUUGUAAGGAUUACUCAUAUGGUUGGUUAAGAAUCAAUAGAUUGUUGCUUGGCGAUCAAUCAAACUCGUGGACCAACUAAAUAGUCUUUUGUUCCUCUACUCUACAAAGGGGUUCAUGCGUAACUCGAGCAAGGCACUAAGACCAGUUUACACACUGCAUAGCACAAUAUUGGGCUUCAGCACACCAUGGCAUGGACAAAUGGAAGUUGGGGGGAUGGGGGGUGGUGGUGGGGGUCUAUAGGAGUGAGGAGGACUCAUCUUCCCUCAUGCAGACGAUGUGGAACAACUACCCACUGCCAGCGUUUCCAAAUGGCGAAUGCCCACUGAACAACCAAAUUGAAAUGCAAAAAUGGUUUUGUUUCGGUCUGGUUUUCAAGUUUUCUGAUAAUUUUUCUACACUCCUAUUCACUAAUUCAGCCAAAUGCGGUUACUCAAGGCUAAGAAUAAAAGCUGAAGGUCCCUUAGCCCAUCCUAUGAGCCCCGUGGGAAGAAUACACAUUUUAUACCAGUUUUAAGAAAGUCUAAAUAAAGUAAAAGCAUGAUAAGCCUCUGAAAUGCCUAUUCCUAUUAAAAUUUAAUUUGAUUGCAAAUUUUGGUUUCCAUUUAUUUGGAGUACUAUUUCAGAUUCUGUAUGAGGAUUUUCAAGCAUUAUCUAUAUGAUUUUGAAAAUGCUGGCUUUUGUAAACCAUACUGGAUGCAUUUACAGAUUCCUCACCUAAGACCUGGUGACUACAACCGGUCUAGGUUACUGCUAGGAGCUGAAGGGCUAUGAACUGAGCUUAUGUUCUUGUAUUGCCGUCAGGGAAAGGUUAAAGAGAGCCUUUUUGGUGGAAGAGCAUAAGAUGCCGAAGAAGGUUUAGGAGAUCCACAAAGCAAAGGAAAAGCAAGCCUUGAAAAGCUGAGAUAAUGAAAGUUUUUUGAGUUUUAACCUACAUUAUGAGCAAAUUUUUGCUGCGACUGACAAUAUUUCAUAGAAGAAGCGUUGAGAUGUGAGUUUUGAUUAUUGAUUUUUAUUUCUAUUUGGUUGGUUCAAAGCUCAGACUAUGAUUUAUUUACGUUCCUUGCAUUAUCAUC